rnacentral:misc_RNA from 1 species
UUUCUUCUCUAUUACACUAUAUCAUUUUAUGCUGGUAGUUUACCAUCUUGGUCAUUUCAUAUAUGCCGUUAUUUGUUAGCAUUUAUCUUACUGUGGAUUGAGGGUUCGGGCUAGAAUUUAAUUUGGUGGCUUCUGACCUGUAACUUCUCCUGUCAUGUUUAACUGUGAAAUGCUUUCAAACAAUUUGGCUUGUGAGCUAUAAAUUAAUCUCCUUUUUUCGUUCUGGGUCUGAUUACCGAGCCGGGAGGGAAAAUAAAGAAAGAAUCUCAGCACCGAUUAAACUCAUUUUUACUACUGCUUCCGUUGGUACAGCCAGAGAGGAACUCAAACAUUGUCUCCCGAUCUAUUAUUUCAAGAUGAAAUUGAACUGCUAGGACUAUUUGAAUGAUUACGUUCAUCAUUCAAAUGGUAAAAUUCCAUUGCAAAAUGCAGAGCCUAAUUCUAGAAUGCUCUACUUGAUAUUUUCCAAUAAAUGUUGUAUUUGAAAUUUUAGAUUUGAUUAAAAAUAAGGAGUUACCACCACCCUCUUGUUAGAGUUUAAAUGUGAGGUGUGAGAAAGUGGUAAAAAAUUGUGGAAUAAAACUGUUGUGUGGAUAAAUGGUGCAUGAGAUCUUGUGAGGUGCUUGCUUUAGCAGUGUUAUGCUGCAAAUUUAUUGUAUUUGAUAACUUGUAUCGUUGAAUCAGCAUGUUCAAGCUAAUGCUCAUUACGAGCGAAUGUUCACUUCUCUCGUUUAAUGUGGAAUUAGGGUUUAAAAAUAGAAUGAAAUAUCUUUAGUUUUUCUAAGUGGUAAUUUGGGCUUGGGUGCAGGUGAGUUUGAGCGAGUAGCAGGACACACAUCAAGAGUAAAAGUGCAUACAUAUGGCACACAGUUUGUUGUUACUGGAUUCAACUAUUUGUUUUUGUGCUACUGGUGCUGAAAUUUGCAUAUUUUGUUAUGUAUAAAGGUACAGGUGAUUUGGGCGAGCGACCCAGUUUCACAACGGAGGGGAGGAG